GAUGAACGCUGGCGGCGUGCCUAAUACAUGCAAGUCGAGCGAACGGACGAGAAGCUUGCUUCUCUGAUGUUAGCGGCGGACGGGUGAGUAACACGUGGAUAACCUACCUAUAAGACUGGGAUAACUUCGGGAAACCGGAGCUAAUACCGGAUAAUAUUUUGAACCGCAUGGUUCAAAAGUGAAAGACGGUCUUGCUGUCACUUAUAGAUGGAUCCGCGCUGCAUUAGCUAGUUGGUAAGGUAACGGCUUACCAAGGCAACGAUGCAUAGCCGACCUGAGAGGGUGAUCGGCCACACUGGAACUGAGACACGGUCCAGACUCCUACGGGAGGCAGCAGUAGGGAAUCUUCCGCAAUGGGCGAAAGCCUGACGGAGCAACGCCGCGUGAGUGAUGAAGGUCUUCGGAUCGUAAAACUCUGUUAUUAGGGAAGAACAUAUGUGUAAGUAACUGUGCACAUCUUGACGGUACCUAAUCAGAAAGCCACGGCUAACUACGUGCCAGCAGCCGCGGUAAUACGUAGGUGGCAAGCGUUAUCCGGAAUUAUUGGGCGUAAAGCGCGCGUAGGCGGUUUUUUAAGUCUGAUGUGAAAGCCCACGGCUCAACCGUGGAGGGUCAUUGGAAACUGGAAAACUUGAGUGCAGAAGAGGAAAGUGGAAUUCCAUGUGUAGCGGUGAAAUGCGCAGAGAUAUGGAGGAACACCAGUGGCGAAGGCGACUUUCUGGUCUGUAACUGACGCUGAUGUGCGAAAGCGUGGGGAUCAAACAGGAUUAGAUACCCUGGUAGUCCACGCCGUAAACGAUGAGUGCUAAGUGUUAGGGGGUUUCCGCCCCUUAGUGCUGCAGCUAACGCAUUAAGCACUCCGCCUGGGGAGUACGACCGCAAGGUUGAAACUCAAAGGAAUUGACGGGGACCCGCACAAGCGGUGGAGCAUGUGGUUUAAUUCGAAGCAACGCGAAGAACCUUACCAAAUCUUGACAUCCUUUGACAACUCUAGAGAUAGAGCUUUCCCCUUCGGGGGACAAAGUGACAGGUGGUGCAUGGUUGUCGUCAGCUCGUGUCGUGAGAUGUUGGGUUAAGUCCCGCAACGAGCGCAACCCUUAAGCUUAGUUGCCAUCAUUAAGUUGGGCACUCUAAGUUGACUGCCGGUGACAAACCGGAGGAAGGUGGGGAUGACGUCAAAUCAUCAUGCCCCUUAUGAUUUGGGCUACACACGUGCUACAAUGGACAAUACAAAGGGCAGCGAAACCGCGAGGUCAAGCAAAUCCCAUAAAGUUGUUCUCAGUUCGGAUUGUAGUCUGCAACUCGACUCCAUGAAGCUGGAAUCGCUAGUAAUCGUAGAUCAGCAUGCUACGGUGAAUACGUUCCCGGGUCU
rnacentral:rRNA from 1 species